rnacentral:rRNA from 1 species
CCUACGGGUGGCUGCAGUGGGGAAUAUUGCACAAUGGGGGAAACCCUGAUGCAGCGACGCCGCGUGAGUGAAGAAGUAUCUCGGUAUGUAAAGCUCUAUCAGCAGGGAAGAAAAUGACGGUACCUGACUAAGAAGCCCCGGCUAACUACGUGCCAGCAGCCGCGGUAAUACGUAGGGGGCAAGCGUUAUCCGGAUUUACUGGGGGUAAAGGGAGCGUAGACGGCGCUGCAAGUCCGGAGUGAAAGCCCAGGGCUUAACCAUGGGACUGCUCUGGAAACUGUGGGGCUGGAGUGCAGGAGGGGCAGGCGGAAUUCCUAGUGUAGCGGUGAAAUGCGUAGAUAUUAGGAGGAACACCAGCGGCGAAGGCGGCCUGCUGGACCGUAACUGACGUUGAGGCUCGAAAGCGUGGGGAGCAAACAGGAUUAGAUACCCCUGUAGUC